rnacentral:rRNA from 1 species
CAGCCGUAAACUAUGCUCGCUAGGUGUCAGGCAUGGCGCGACCGUGUCUGGUGCCGCAGGGAAGCCGUGAAGCGAGCCACCUGGGAAGUACGGCCGCAAGGCUGAAACUUAAAGGAAUUGGCGGGGGAGCACAACAACGGGUGGAGCCUGCGGUUUAAUUGGACUCAACGCCGGACAACUCACCGGGGACGACAGCAAUAUGUAGGCCAGGCUGAAGACCUUGCCUGAAUCGCUGAGAGGAGGUGCAUGGCGUAGACGUCCU